AUGAACAUUUUGGCCAGAACAGAAGGAGAGCUCUCUGGAAAACUCCGGUCCUUCAUUUACUCCCAAUGACUCGACGGUGACGCCUAGUUCAUUGAAACGAGAAAACAUCUCUUACUCCUCCUCCUCCUAUUUCCAAGUAGUCCUCGCGGCCAUAGGUGAGUUUUUCUCAGGAGAAUUUCAUCGAACACUUGCCCUUUAUUCAUUUCUUCCCCUCCUCAUAUACCUGUCUUUGUUUCGUCGCAGUCUGUCACUCGGCACCCAUAUCUCCAAGAAAUUAAGUGCAAGAUCUUCUGCGACAAGGUCCCCAAAGCUGCCGAGUUCAGUGAUUUUCAUUCAUGUUGUUCGUCUUCGUGUUUCUUUUCAUUGUGCAAAGAAAAGACGGUUCUUGGUGAAAACUUCGAAGGAAGGUUAAAUGGUGACGUAUUUGCUCUUUUCCAAAUUUUUGGUCACCUGUACUGGUUGAGCAUGCAAAUUUUAGGCUUGCCGUGAAAUAUGUCGCCUCUAUGACGGUUCCAAUAUGAAUCAACUGCUUAUUGGCUUUAAGAUUGAAAUUAAUUAGGUUUCAUUGGAGAUUUUGAGACGAGGUUGAGGUUAUUGUGUCCAAGGAAGCUUGGAUGAUGAUCUGGGUGGGGGAAGUUUGAUUGUGUUGUGGAGGUUCUUCAUGAAAAAGAUUUCCGGGGGGGCUUUUUUAUGAAGAGAAGAAAUCAUUUUUUCUUGUUUUGAGGGUGCUUUAUUUAUUGACUGAAAAUAUAUUCCUUGAUUGAUCUAA
rnacentral:lncRNA from 1 species